rnacentral:rRNA from 1 species
AUACGCAGGGAGCGAGCGUUGUCCGGAAUUACUGGGCGUCAAGGGCGCGUAGGCGGCGCUUCAAGUCGUCUGUCAAAUGGGAGGGCUUAACCCUUUUUAGCAGACGACACUGGCGAGCUUGAGAAGCAGAGAGGCAAACAGAAUUCCUGGCGUAGCGGUGAAAUGCGUAGAUAUCAGGAAGAAUACCAGUGGCGAAGGCGGUUUGCUGGCUGCAUACUGACGCUGAAGCGCGAAAGCCAGGGGAGCGAACGGGAUUAGAUACCCCGGUAGUCCUGGCAGUAAACGAUGUAUGCUGGGUGUGAGACUAGCGAUAGUUUCGUGCCGAAGUUAACGCGAUAAGCAUACCGCCUGGGGAGUACGGUCGCAAGAUUGAAACUCAAAGGAAUUGACGGGG